UCGUGGGGUUCCUUUGUCUGAGAUCCUCGUUUUUGUCAGUAGCACCAAUUGUGAUGUCAUGGUCGCGUGUGGAGCCAUGGCGCCGGCUCAGUGCCUGCCCCUGUCGCCAGCCGGCCAGGUCCCCGGGGGCGGCGGCCUCCCUCCUCACCGCUGCACAGACCCGGACCCGGCACCCCAGAGUGAGGAGCCCAUUGUUCUGUGGGAAACCCUGGAGGAGACAGCCCCGCGGUGUAGGGCGUGGGGGGGCCAGCAGGCUAAGCACCUGCUGGGUCCUGCAGAAGGCCUUGGGGCCCCAGGUUGGAUGCAGCCACGACCGUGAGCCGGGGGAGGGGGACAGCCUCCCCGUGAGUCUCACCUGGUGCUCCCCCCCACCGCCCCGGAAGCCUGGACGGGCCACUCGGGACUGGCAGGAUUGUGUGUAUUUAUUCUUGAGAGGCACAGAGAGAGGCAGAGACCCAGGCAGAGGGAGAAGCAGACUCCCUGCGGGGACCCUGGUGUCACACCCUGAGCCAGAGGCAGGUGCUCAACCGCUGAGCCCCCAGGCGUCCCUAAUGUUUUAUUUUCUGUGUCUUUUAAUAAUUAAUGAGAAAGAAACACUGCA